rnacentral:rRNA from 1 species
GAACUGAGGGUAGCGGAGAAAUUCCAAUCGAACCUGGAGAUAGCUGGUUCUCUCCGAAAUAGCUUUAGGGCUAGCCUCAAGUGAUGAUUAUUGGAGGUAGAGCACUGUUUGGACGAGGGGCCCCUCUCGGGUUACCGAAUUCAGACAAACUCCGAAUGCCAAUUAAUUUAACUUGGGAGUCAGAACAUGGGUGAUAAGGUCCGUGUUCGAAAGGGAAACAGCCCAGACCACCAGCUAAGGUCCCAAAAUAUAUGUUAAGUGGAAAAGGAUGUGGCGUUGCCCAGACAACUAGGAUGUUGGCUUAGAAGCAGCCAUCAUUUAAAGAGUGCGUAAUAGCUCACUAGUCGAGUGACACUGCGCCGAAAAUGUACCGGGGCUAAACAUAUUACCGAAGCUGUGGAUUGUCCUUUGGACAAUGGUAGGAGAGCGUUCUAAGGGCGUUGAAGCAUGAUCGUAAGGACAUGUGGAGCGCUUAGAAGUGAGAAUGCCGGUGUGAGUAGCGAAAGACGGGUGAGAAUCCCGUCCACCGAUUGACUAAGGUUUCCAGAGGAAGGCUCGUCCGCUCUGGGUUAGUCGGGUCCUAAGCUGAGGCCGACAGGCGUAGGCGAUGGAUAACAGGUUGAUAUUCCUGUACCACCUAUAAUCGUUUUAAUCGAUGGGGGGACGCAGUAGGAUAGGCGAAGCGUGCGAUUGGAUUGCACGUCUAAGCAGUAAGGCUGAGUAUUAGGCAAAUCCGGUACUCGUUAAGGCUGAGCUGUGAUGGGGAGAAGACAUUGUGUCUUCGAGUCGUUGAUUUCACACUGCCGAGAAAAGCCUCUAGAUAGAAAAUAGGUGCCCGUACCGCAAACCGACACAGGUAGUCAAGAUGAGAAUUCUAAGGUGAGCGAGCGAACUCUCGUUAAGGAACUCGGCAAAAUGACCCCGU